rnacentral:lncRNA from 1 species
ACUUACCAGAUGAAAAAUGGCCACAAACGCAAGAGCGAUGAUUGACUGCGAAAAAUCCAACAGGAAACCGUGAAAAAUCGAAGAAGAAAAAUGAAGAAGAAAGUCGACGUAGGAAUUUUGGAGAGAAAGAGAGAAACAAAUUUUGAAAAGAAUAAAAUAAAAAAUAACAAAAAUAAUCCUAAUAACCCCCAAAUCCCCUAUAUUCUCUC